rnacentral:rRNA from 1 species
GGUUGAUCCUGCCAGUAGUCAUAUGCUUGUCUCAAAGAUUAAGCCAUGCAAGUCUAAGUAUAUAUGAAUUUGUACUGUGAAACUGCGAAUGGCUCAUUAAAUCAGUUAUAGUUUAUUUGAUAGUUACCUUACCGUGGAUAUCCGUGGUAAUUCUAGAGCUAAUACAUGCAACAAAGUCCCGACUUUUUUGGAAGGGAUGUAUUUAUUAGAUAAAAAACCAACCCGGGCAACCGGUUUUUGGAUGAUUCAUAAUAACUUCUCGAAUCGUAUGACCUUGCGUCGACGAUGGUUCA